UACGGGGGGGGCAAGCGUUGUUCGGAAUUACUGGGCGUAAAGGGCCAGUAGGCGGCCAACUAAGUCCGACGUGAAAUCCCAAGGCUUAACCUUGGAACUGCGUCGGAUACUGGAUGGCUUGAAUUCGGGAGAGGGAUGCAGAAUUCCAGGUGUAGCGGUGAAAUGCGUAGAUAUCUGGAGGAACACCGGUGGCGAAGGCGGCAUCCUGGACCAAUACUGACGCUGAGGAGCGAAAGCCAGGGGAGCAAACGGG
rnacentral:rRNA from 1 species